AGUGAACGCUGGCGGUAGGCCUAACACAUGCAAGUCGAACGGCAGCACAGUAAGAGCUUGCUCUUACGGGUGGCGAGUGGCGGACGGGUGAGGCAUACAUCGGAAUCUACUUUUUCGUGGGGGAUAACGUAGGGAAACUUACGCUAAUACCGCAUACGACCUACGGGUGAAAGCAGGGGAUCUUCGGACCUUGCGCGAUUGAAUGAGCCGAUGUCGGGUUAGCUAGUUGGCGGGGGAAAGGCCCACCAAGGCGACGAUCCGUAGCUGGUCUGAGAGGAUGAUCAGCCACACUGGAACUGAGACGCGGUCCAGACUCCUACGGGAGGCAGCAGUGGGGAAUAUUGGACGAUGGACGCAAGCCUGAUCCAGCCAUACCGCGUGAGUGAAGAAGGCCUUCGGGUUGGAAAGCCCUGUUGUUGGGAAAGAAAAGCAGCAGGUUAAUACCCCGCUGUUCUGACGGUACCCAAAGAAUAAGCACCGGCUAACUUCGUG
rnacentral:rRNA from 1 species